rnacentral:rRNA from 1 species
CGUGCAGGCGGCCUUGUAAGUGGAAUGUGAAAUGCCCUGGCUCAACCAGGGAACUGCAUCCCAGACUGCAAGGCUUGAGUAUAGGAGAGGAUGGGGGAAUUCCCGGUGUAGCGGUGAAAUGCAUUGAUAUCGGGAGGAACACCAGUGGCGAAGGCGCCCAUCUGGCCUAAUACUGACGCUCAGGCGCGAAAGCUAGGGGAGCAAACAGGAUUAGAUACCCUGGUAGUCCUAGCCGUAAACGGUGGGCACUAGGUGUAGGAGGCAUCGACCCUCCUGUGCCGCAGCUAACGCAUUAAGUGCCCCGCCUGGGGAGUACGACCGCAAGGUUGAA